rnacentral:rRNA from 1 species
UACGGAGGUUGCGAGCGUUGUUCGGAAUAACUGGGCGUAAAGGGAGCGCAGGCGGUUCGGCAAGUCUAAAGUGGAAGCCCGGGGCUUAACCUCGGAAGUGCUUUGGAUACUACCGAGCUCGAGUUCGUGAGAGGAAAGCGGAAUUCCAGGUGUAGCGGUGAAAUGCGUAGAUAUCUGGAGGAACACCGGUGGCGAAAGCGGCUUUCUGGCACGAUACUGACGCUGAGGCUCGAAAGCAUGGGUAGCAAACAGG